rnacentral:rRNA from 3 species
UACGGAGGAUGCGAGCGUUAUCCGGAUUUAUUGGGUUUAAAGGGAGCGCAGACGGGUCGUUAAGUCAGCUGUGAAAGUUUGGGGCUCAACCUUAAAAUUGCAGUUGAUACUGGCGUCCUUGAGUGCGGUUGAGGUGUGCGGAAUUCGUGGUGUAGCGGUGAAAUGCUUAGAUAUCACGAAGAACUCCGAUUGCGAAGGCAGCACACUAAGCCGUAACUGACGUUCAUGCUCGAAAGUGUGGGUAUCAAACAGG